rnacentral:rRNA from 1 species
AACGAACGCUGGCGGCAUGCUUAACACAUGCAAGUUGAACGCAGAAUAGGGCUUCGGCUCUAUUGCUGAGUAGCAAACGGGUGAGUAACGCGUGGGAAUCUACCUUCUUGUGGGGGAUAACUAAGGGAAACUUUAGCUAAUACCGCAUACGGUCUACGGAGGAAAGGCUCCGGCCGCAAGAAGAGGAGCCCGCGUCAGAUUAGGUAGUUGGUGGGGUAAAAGCCUACCAAGCCAAUGAUCUGUAGCUGGUCUGAGAGGAUGAUCAGCCACACCGAGACUGAGACACGGCCCAGACUCCUACGGGAGGCAGCAGUGGGGAAUAUUGGACAAUGGGGGAAACCCUGAUCCAGCAAUGGCGCGUGAAUGAAGAAGGCCUUAGGGUCGUAAAGUUCUUUCACCUGUGAAGAUAAUGACGGUAGCAGGAGAAGAAGCCCCGGCUAACUCCGUGCCAGCCGCCGCGGUAA